AUUUAUUUUUUUGCCGCACUCAUCAUCGCAUCAUUUGCAGCAUCCGCAUUGCAUCGGCAUCCCGUUGUCGUCAGUUUUCAAAACUUGCAUUAGUUAUUAGUUGUCGGUUCUCCCGUGUUCGUCGUUGCCCAUUUGAGUCCAACCACCCAUGCACGCGCCCGCGGCAUCGUCAAAACCCUAUUUUUAAAAGUGUGUAUAAAACUUUCUCUGAUUGGGUUGAGACGUGGCAUGCGGUCUUAAUAUAUGAUAGGUAGACCACC
rnacentral:lncRNA from 1 species